GGGUCUUGGGAUAGUUGGAGUUAAGCAUCCUUGGGUUUGAGUAGUACUGAGAUGGGUGACCUCCCGGGAAGUCCAAACCCAGGAGUUU
rfam:Selaginella moellendorffii unplaced genomic scaffold SELMOscaffold_19, whole genome shotgun sequence.